ACCUGUAGUGCAUUGUAUAGCGCGUUGGACUUUUAAUCCAAAGGUCAUGGGUCUAAAUCCUAUCUGGGAUU